CCCGCGGCCCAACCCAAAGGUCACAUGCCGUCAGUUGUGUGAUUUGAGUGAGGCGCGCGCACAUCGAGCGUCGGCCCCGUCGCCUUUCUCGGCUUCCAGUGCCGUCGAAAGUGAAACCGGGGCCGGACACGG